rnacentral:rRNA from 1 species
GAUGAACGCUGGCGGCGUGCCUAAUACAUGCAAGUCGAGCGAACAGACGAGGAGCUUGCUCCUCUGACGUUAGCGGCGGACGGGUGAGUAACACGUGGAUAACCUACCUAUAAGACUGGGAUAACUUCGGGAAACCGGAGCUAAUACCGGAUAAUAUAUUGAACCGCAUGGUUCAAUAGUGAAAGACGGUUUUGCUGUCACUUAUAGAUGGAUCCGCGCCGCAUUAGCUAGUUGGUAAGGUAACGGCUUUCCAAGGCAACGAUGCGUAGCCGACCUGAGAGGGUGAUCGGCCAAACUGGAACUGAGACACGGUCCAGACUCCUACGGGAGGCAGCAGUAGGGAAUCUUCCGCAAUGGGCGAAAGCCUGACGGAGCAACGCCGCGUGAGUGAUGAAGGUCUUCGGAUCGUAAAACUCUGUUAUUAGGGAAGAACAAAUGUGUAAGUAACUAUGCACGUCUUGACGGUACCUAAUCAGAAAGCCACGGCUAACUACGUG